AGCUAUAGCUAAAAAUAAUCUCACUGUAACUAGUUUAGCUACUGGUGAGAAACUUUCAUGGUAAUCUAUUCCAGAUAGCUGAUUAUACCCUUUUACAACCAACCUAGCUUUAUAUUUGUCAAUAUUACCAUCUGGCCUAUAUUUAAUUUUAUACACCCAUCUAGGAGCUAUAGCUUUCUUUCCCUUGGAAGAGUGGUAAUUUCCCAAUUAUUAUUUCUCUCCGAUGCUUCUAAUUCUGAUUGCAUAGCAUGGAUCUAGUUAUUGUCCUCCCUAGCUUGGUGGUAAAAUUUAGGUUCACAUGAUGUAGAAACAUUUGCCAUAUAACUUAUGUAAUCAUGAUUAUAAUGGGGUAUAGAAAAUGAAAUAGGUUGAGGAGGUAAGAUUGUCAUACCUUCAGGAUUUUGUGACCAUUCAGAAGUUGUAGCAACUGAAGUUUUUGAGAAGGUGCAUAUAUAGCUUGUGCAACAAAAUCAUUCAAUCAUUUUGGCCUAUUUGAAACUCUUGUACUUCUCCUUAUGGGCACCUCAAUUUUAGGAAUGGAUUCUGUUUGUAGUGAAGUUAAUGGAGAAUUAUUAUUUUCAAUUGGUGAUGUGAGGGGAUGAGUGGAAUUUGGUAACCGUGUUUCUAUGUCAAAAAUUGGCAUGGGUAGAAUAGAAUCAUCAAACUAUGUGGUAUGUCCAUCUCCACUAGCAUAUGGAAAACAAUUUUCAUGAAAAACUACAUCCCUUGAUACAAUAAUAGCUUUAUUUUGCAUAUCAUAUAUAAGCCUUGUAAACAAAAGCAUAUCGUAUGAAGGCACAUUUGAAAGCUCUCUGUUUAAAUUUAUAUUUAUGUGCUUUAAUAUUUGUAGCAAAACCUAAACAUUCAAAGACUUUGAGAUGAUUGCAAUCUAGUUUCUUAUUGUAAUCUGGUUUCUUGCCAAACAAAAUUUCAUAAGGAGUUUUCCAUUGUAAAACUGAACUUGGCAUCCUAUUUAUGAGAUGGGUUGUUGUCAAAAUACUGUCUCCCUAGAAAUUUUUUAGCAAUUUUGAUGUAAACAUUAAGGCUCUUG
rnacentral:misc_RNA from 1 species